AUAUAGUUGAAAUAUGAUGAGUGUACAAAAUUUGAUGUAAAAAAUGAAAAAUGUUAAGAUCCAACUCUGAUUUCAACUCAGG
rnacentral:snoRNA from 12 species